AUUGAACGCUGGCGGCAGGCUUAACACAUGCAAGUCGAGCGGAGCGAGGGUGCUUGCACCUUAGCUUAGCGGCGGACGGGUGAGUAAUGCUUAGGAAUCUGCCUAUUAGUGGGGGACAACAUUCCGAAAGGAAUGCUAAUACCGCAUACGCCCUACGGGGGAAAGCAGGGGAUCUUCGGACCUUGCGCUAAUAGAUGAGCCUAAGUCGGAGUAGCUAGUUGGUGGGGUAAAGGCCUACCAAGGCGACGAUCUGUAGCGGGUCUGAGAGGAUGGUCCGCCAACCUGGGACGUAGACACGGCCCAGAAGCCUACGGGAGGCAGCAGUGGGGAAUAUUGGACAAUGGGCGGAAGCCUGAUCCAGCCAUGCCGCGUGUGUGAAGAAGGCCUUUUGGUUGUAAAGCACUUUAAGCGAGGAGGAGGCUACUUAGAUUAAUACUCUGGGAUAGUGGACGUUACUCGCAGAAUAAGCACCGGCUAACUCUGUGCCAGCAGCCGCCGUAAUAC
rnacentral:rRNA from 1 species